GUCUACGGCCAUGCCACCCUAAACAGGCCCGAUGUCUGAUCUCAGAAGCUAAGCAGGGUCGGGCCUAGUUAGUACUUGGAUGGGAGACCACCUAGGAAGACCAGGUGCUGUAGGCA
rnacentral:rRNA from 1 species